rnacentral:rRNA from 1 species
AUUGAACGCUGGCGGCAGGCCUAACACAUGCAAGUCGAGCGGAUGAAGGUAGCUUGCUACCUGAUUCAGCGGCGGACGGGUGAGUAAUGCCUAGGAAUCUGCCUGGUAGUGGGGGACAACGUUUCGAGAGGAACGCUAAUACCGCAUACGUCCUACGGGAGAAAGUGGGGGAUCUUCGGACCUCACGCUAUCAGACGAGCCUAGGUACGAUUAGCUAGUUGGUGAGGUAAAGGCUCACCAAGGCGACGAUCGUUAACUGGUCUGAGAGGAUGAUCAGUCACACUGGAACUGAGACACGGUCCAGACUCCUACGGGAGGCAGCAGUGGGGAAUAUUGGACAAUGGGCGAAAGCCUGAUCCAGCCAUGCCGCGUGUGUGAAGAAGGUCUUCGGAUUGUAAAGCACUUUAAGUUGGGAGGAAGGGCAGUAAGUUAAUACCUUGCUGUUUUGACGUUACCGACAGAAUAAGCACCGGCUAACUUCGUGCCAGCCGCCGCAGUAACAC